rnacentral:rRNA from 1 species
CACAUGCUACAAUGGCCGGUACAAAGGGCUGCGAUGCCGCGAGGUUAAGCGAAUCCUUUAAAGCCGGUCUCAGUUCGGAUCGGGGUCUGCAACUCGACCCCGUGAAGUCGGAGUCGCUAGUAAUCGCAGAUCAGCAACGCUGCGGUGAAUACGUUCCCGGGCCUUGUACACACCGCCCGUCACGUCAUGAAAGUCGGUAACACCCGAAGCCAGUGGCCUAACCCUUUGGGAGGGAGCUGUCGAAGG